rnacentral:rRNA from 1 species
AUGGAACCAAAGAAAUGCAAGGGUCUUCCACUCUACAUCGCCUCCUUGAUUAUGCUUGUGAGUUGGACCAUAUGGAAUGAAAGAAAUGCAAGGGUCUUUCACUCUACAUCGCCAAUAAUCCUUCUCGAGACCAUUAACAAAGAGGCGAAACAUUGAGUCACCACGGGUGCAAAACAUUUGGGUCUAAUCAUGUCAGGAGAGUAG